GGUUUCAGUAACACGUUUUAUGCCAAUCCGGUCAGCCCAGCUCAAGUGAUAAAAUGAUCCAGCCCACAAGCCCAUCAGUUUUAAUAGUCCAGCCCAAUCAUCAUUGUGCCACAAUAUUUUUCUCUACAUUCUCCACCUUGGUACAAUGAUUCUAGCAUCAUUUAUAGUGAUUCCUACAGUUAUGACAUCAUUUGCUCGGGUACCUAAUACACAAAUCAGCAGCAAUGUAUAUUAAGCUGCUUUAAACAGUCCAAGAACUUGUUUAAAGGCAAUACUUUAGUUCCAACAUCAACAUCAGCAGGGUUAAAAUAAGUAGAGAUCUUUUUAAGUUUAACACCACCUUGAGAAAUUACAUCUCUAAUAAAAUGAAAUUUCACAUCAACAUGUUUAGAUCUAUUAUGCAACACAUGAUUUCUACUCAAAUAUAUAGCAGAUUGGCUAUCAGAAUGUAAGACAACAUCAUUUAUGAAGCCAAAUUCAUUUAAAAGUCCUUUUAGCCAAAUUCCUUCUUUAAUUGUAUCAGUAGCAGCUAUAUAUUCUGCUUCAGUUGAAGACAAUGCAACAAUCUUUUGUAAUUGUGAUUUCUAGCUUAUACAGGAAUUAUAUAAAGUGUAAACAUAGGCAGAAGUUGAUUUUCUGUUAUCCAUAUCACCUGCAUAAUCUGAAUCUGUGAAACCCCUCAAGAUAACACCCUCAGAUUGUUUUCUAUACUCAAUUCCUAGGUCACAAGUUCCUUUUAUAUAUCUUAGAAGCCAUUUCAUAGCUUCCCAAUGAACUUCAUCAGGAUUUGACAUGUAUCUACUCAAUACACUAAUUGAAAAUGCCAAAUCAGGCCUAGAACAAAUCAUUUGAUACAUAACUGACCCCACAGCAUUAGAAUAUGGCACUCUAGCCAUCCUUUUUAACUCAUCUUCUGUUUCGGGACAUUGAUCAUUGGAUAAUUUGAAGUGAUUUGCUAACGUAAGCUCACACUUUUAGCAUCAGACAUUGCAAAUCUUUCAAGUAUUUUCAAAGCAUAAGAAUUUUGAUUUAGACUUAAUGUGCCCUCUCUUCUAUUUCUUUUAAUUUCGAUACCCAAAAUUUUUCUAAUAGGGCCUAAAUCCUUCAUUUCAAAUUCAAAUUUUUAUUUGUCUUUAAUUGACUCUAUUUCCUUUACGUCAUGACUUGCUAAAAGCAUGUCAUCCACAUAAAGUAAAAGAUAGAGUGAAUUCUCACCUCCGUUUCCUUUACAAUAAAGACAAGUAUCAAAAUUACUUAUUUUAGAACCAAGUCCAAGUACAAAAGUGUCAAAUCUCUUAUGACCAUUGUCUUGGAGCUUGUUUUAAACUAUAAAGUGACUUUUUAAGAAGGCAUACUAAGUCUGAAUUUUUGUUCACUUCAAAACCUUUAGGUUGUUCCAUAAAAAUGAUUUCUUCAAGAUCUCCAUUUAAAAAAGCAAUUUUUACAUCUAAUUGAUCCAAUUCCCAAUUAAAUUGAGCUGCUAGAGCAAGUAUUACUCUAACAGUUGUAAAUUUUACAACUGGAGAAAAGAUUUCAAUGAAAUCUAUUCCCUUUUUUUGGGCAAAACCCUUAGCCACAAGUCUUGCUUUGUAUCUAAUGUCAUUCUUAUCUUUUUCACCUCUUUUGAUUUUAAAAGUCCACUUACAAUCUAUAACUCUCUUUCCCUUAGGUCUUUUCACUAGGGUCCAUGUUUUAUUCUUCCUCAAUGAUUCCAUUUCAUCAUGCAUUGCAUUUCAUCAUCAAAUCUCACAGGUGGUCUUAUUUCUCUCUUUUCUCUAUCUCUAGCAAGUUGAUAAUCAUUCAAUGGUUGAUUAACUUCAUAAUCAGAUUCAAUUUGAUCAGUUUCGUCAUUAUUUUGAACCUCAAUUUCACUAUAUUCAAUCUGAUCAGAUUGUAGAUUAUCAUUAUUAACUUGCUCCACCUCAAUUUCAGUUUCUCUUCCUUCAUUUUCAGUCUGACCAGAUUCAUUAGUGUUAUUUUCAGAUUUUAAACAAGGCAAAUCAAUCUCAUUAAAGACCACAUUUCUACUUAUUAUGAUCUUAUAACCUUUGGUCUCUCUUACCCAAAUUCUAUACCCCUUUACCCCUUCACCAUAGCUCAAGAAAACACACUUAAGAGCCCUAGGUUCAAGUUUUCCCAUAGAUUGAUGUGCAAAGACUGCACAUCCAAAUAUUUUCAGAUUACUUAAAUCUACAGGUUUUCCCGUCCAAACUUCUUCAGGGAAUUUAAACUGUAUAGCACUAGAUGUGCUUCUGUUAAUGAGAUAACUAGCAGUUUUUGCAACUUCUCCCUAAAAUAACUUGGGAAGACCAGAACCUAAUAACAUGCAUCUAACUUUCUCAAGAAUAGUUCGGUUCAUUCUUUCAGCCAAGCCAUUUUGUUGUGGGGGUGUGUGUGACUAUUCUGUAUCUCAAAAUGCCAUGCAAUUUACACAAUUCAUCAAAUUCAUAAUUGAAAAACUUAAGCUCAUUAUCAGUCCUCAACACUUUAAUCUUUUUAUUUGUUUGAUUUUCAAUCAAGGUUUUCCAUUCUUUAAAAGUAUUAAAAGUGUCGGACUUAUUUUUAAGUAGAAAGAGCCAAUUUUUUCUAGAAAAAUCAUUUAUGAUUAAAAAAAAUAAAUCUCAAACCAGUAUGUGUGGGCACAGAAGCUGGUCCCCAAAGAUUAGCAUGCAAAUAUUCAAGAAUAGACACAAAUUUAUGCAUCCCAAGCAGAAAUGGUAAUCUAUUUUGCUUUCCUAGUACGCAAUGAUCACAAAAACUGAGUUUCUCAAUUAUAUUUUUACCAAAGGCACCUUGUUUUUUCAAAAUCUGAAGUCCUUUAUCACUAAUAUGACUCAGUCUUUUAUGCCAUAAUUGUGCCUUAUCAUUGGGGGCAGAAAUUGCUGCUGAUGUAAAAUCAAAAAAGUUUUGAGUGUGUAAAAUGUAAAGUUCACGUCUCUUGGGGGCUUCUGCAACUAAUUGAGAACCCCUCAAGAUUUUGACGUAUCCCUUGUUAAUUACAAUAUUGUAGUCAGGUCAUCUAGGACACCUAAGGAUAUCAGAUUUCUUUGUGGGUCAGGAACAUACCUUGUUUAUUCUAAGAUCAAUUCAUUAUUACCAUCCAACCUUAAGGUGAUUGUUCCUAUUCCUUUAACCUGACAAGACAUGUGAUUACCCAUUAACACUUGGCCUCCAUUUACAUUUUCAAACUCACUAAACCACUCUCUUUUAGGACACAAAUGAAAGGUACGACCUGAGUCAAGGAUCCACUCCUGACUAGGUGGACUGUGUGUAGCAACAUGGACCUUAUCUGCAUUGUACUUACUUUUAUAAGCCAAGGCAGGACCACCAUCAUUAUUGGACUUAUUUUUCAAGUCAUUAAGUCUCUUAUGGCAAUCUUUGAUAAAAUGACCUUCACCUAGAUAAUAAAAACAUUUUUUACCCUUAGUCUUGUAUUUCAUUUUAUCUUUAAAGUUCACAUUUUUCUUGUGUCCAAGUUUCUUAUUGAAAUUGGCCAUCUUUGGGUUUGAAUUAGGUUUGGACUUAACCAUCAAAUUUUCACCAGUAAUAGAUUCUCUUUUUUUUUUUUUUUUGCAGAUUUUAACUCUAACUCUUUAUUUCUCAAUGCAUUUAUUAUCACGUCAGUAGUUAGAGUCUCCCUUCCAUAUUUAAUAGCAUUUUUAACAUCUUUAUAUUUAUCACUUAUUGAAUUUAACAAAACUACAGCCAACUGAUCUUUUGAGAGUUUCUCAUCACAGUCGGCUAGGUUACGGGAUAAUCUGUAGAAUCUAUCAAUGUUUGCCUCAAGAUCAAGAGAUGGAUCCAAUUUGAAACCAAAAAAUUGUUUUAGAAGAUACACUUUAUUAGGCAUCGUUUUAUUUAAAUAAGUAUCUUCCAAUUUUUUCCCCAACUCAGCAGCAGUUUUUGUCUCACCAAUCUCUCUUAACACAUUGUCAGACAAAUGCAAGAAUAAAGAACUUCAUGCAAUUUCAUCAAGUUUAGUUAUCUUAAUUUCUUUCAUAUCAUCAGGCCAUGACUCAUCAAGGACCUUUGCACAUUUUUGCUGAAGUAAAAGAGCUCACAUUUUCUUGCGCCAAAGACUAAAGUCUCCUUUACCAUUAAAAAAUUCCAGUUCAACUUUUGUUGACAUAAUCAAAACACAAUUUGAUCGUAAAGUGUGCAGGCAGAUCACUUGCAAAUAUGAUAGUAUAUAUAACUUGUAAGAAGUCAAAUAUCAUACACAGUAAACAAAAUUAGAGUGUACAGUCAACAAGUUGUAUAUAUCAAAUUAUUCAGUAAGUAAACUCAGCAGUUCAAUCACUAUAGAAUAGGCAGUUUACUCAAAACCAGCUCAUAUAAAGUCACAUAUACCUAAGUCACAGCAUACUAUGUACAGAGUAAGAAAUACAUGCAAGAAUCAUGUAAUGAAACUAGAUCAUUGAUUGAAGUCAAGGCAACCCUAAGAUUCCAAACAACACAAGAGGUUUCUGGACAUAGGUAUUGCCAAGAGAAGUCACAAAUCUAGGGUUUAAGGCUCGAUUGCAAAAAUCUCACAGUACAGGCAACUACAGUAUAUGUAACUCGAAGAAUAUGGAACGAAUUCACCAAAGAAACCUUGUU
rnacentral:lncRNA from 1 species